GGCGCUAUAGUGUAGUGGUUAUCACUUGGGAUUCUGAUGAUGCAAUCAGUGUUCCCAAAACCCAGGUUCGAGUCCUGGUAGUGCCU
rnacentral:tRNA from 1 species